AUUAACGCUAAGCGGCAGGCAUAAUACAUGCGAAGUUGAACGGCAGCACAGGUAGCAAUACUGGGUGGCGAGUGGCGCACGGGUGCGUAACACGUAUGCAACCUACCCUAUACAGGCGAAUAACCUUUAGAAAUGAGGGCUAAUACGCCGUAGUAUUACAGAUGGGCAUCUAUUUGUAAUUAAAGAUUUAUCGGUAUAGGAUGGGCAUGCGUCCCAUUAGUUAGUUGGUAAGGUAACGGCUUACCAAGACGAUGAUGGGUAGGGG
rnacentral:rRNA from 1 species